rnacentral:rRNA from 1 species
UAGAGUUUGAUCCUGGCUCAGAACGAACGCUGGCGGCGUGCUUAACACAUGCAAGUCGAACGGGAUCCAGAGCUUGCUCUGGUGAGAGUGGCGCACGGGUGAGUAACGCGUGGAUAACCUGCCCUGGUAUCUGGAAUAACAUCUCGAAAGGGGUGCUAAUACCGGAUAAGCCUACGGAGCCCUCGGUCUCUGCAGGAAAAGGUGGCCUCUAUUUAUAAGCUACCGUAUCAGGAUGGGUCCGCGUACCAUUAGCUAGUUGGUAGGGUAAUGGCCUACCAAGGCUACGAUGGUUAGCUGGUCUGAGAGGAUGAUCAGCCACACUGGAACUGAGACACGGUCCAGACUCCUACGGGAGGCAGCAGUGGGGAAUUUUGCGCAAUGGGGGAAACCCUGACGCAGCAACGCCGCGUGAGUGAUGAAGGCUUUCGGGUCGUAAAGCUCUGUCAGAAGGGAAGAAAUGGGGCUGGCUAAUAUCCAGUUUCCUUGACGGUACCUUCAAAGGAAGCACCGGCUAACUCCGUGCCAGCAGCCGCGGUAAUA